ensembl:lncRNA
AAAAACCCCGAAAAAUACUCAACGUGUAUCCUCUAAUGAGGAACCAAUCAGAGUAUCCAAAUUGAAGGAUAUUCUGGAAACCACUGGCCUGAACUUUCUAAAAAAGUCCGUGCCAGUAAAAAACAACAAACAAAAAAGGCAGAACAAGUGUUCUAAAUUGAAGGAAAUUAAAGAGACUGGAUAGCUAAAUGCAGUAUGUGAUCCUUGUUAAAUCCUGGGUUUAUCUUUUACAAACAACAACAGAGAAGGAAAGAUUCUUGGGGGACAAGUGAGGAAAUUCGAAUAUGGACUAAUAAAAUUAUAGUGAGAUAACAAUGGUGGAUUCCGACUUCCUGCGUACGUCUGAAGACCCUGAUGACACAUUUCCUACGGACACUGCAGUCUGAGUCCUCCUCAACAGGCGCGAUUGCGGCCCGCCCUCCCCCACACACAGUUGGCAGCGUCUGGAAACAUUGUUGGUUGUCACAACUGGAGGAAGGGAGGGGUGGCACUGGCAUCUAGUGAGUGGAGGCCAGGGGCGCUGCUAAACAUUGUACGAUAAACGAGACAGCUCCCAUCACCCCACAACAAAGACUCAUCCUGCCCCAAACGUCCACAGUGCCGCGAUCGAGAAACCCAGAUGCAGGAGGCUUCCCUUUUCCUUAGCGGAUAUCGACUGAGAUAAAACACUGCACAUACAUGGCCCUCCGCGCGGACUCCCCUCCUCCCCGGGGACCCGAAGGUAGCACCCCUCCCGGGGCGAAGAGCUGACAGGCGAGCCUGCGCGGUGGGAGGAUCCUGCGAGAGGCCACUGCGCAUGCGCCGGCGGCCUGCCGCACCCACGCGGCGCUUCUGCAAAAGUUACAGACCGCCGGGUGGCCGCGCGGUGCGGUCACGCGGAGCUGCCCACCCAGUAGAGAAGAAAACUCCCGUGGGGCAUCGGCUUCUUCGGGAAAGACAACGAUGCUUCCCCCGUUGAAGCCCGGAGUCCUCCUCCUAGGCCAUCCGCCAAGGGCUGCAGGGAGCGUGGCUCAUCCUUUCGGAGCCCCUCCCAGGAAGAGUCAGUUGUGUGUGGCCCGCGGUGCCCGGCCGUCCGUUCCAGGCUGGACUCUCCAAGGCCAUCAGGCUUCAGGAUGGAUGAUGAACUUUCAAAAAGGAAAAAGAUGGAAAAUCGUCGAAAUUACCAUAAACUGUGCUGCCAGCUGACUAGGUGUUUCUUUGUAGCACGUGCAGAGUCAAGGCAGAUUGUAUUCCUGCAUUAUAUAACCUACCAGCAACCUACUUACCUCCUGUCUUAAUCAAGGUUAUUCUUGAAAGCAGAGCCUGAGACAGAGGUAGCUGCAUGCUCUUUGGGAAUGUGAUCCUAAGGAGCACGAAUGAGAGAGGGGAGUGCAGGGAGCUGGGGGGGCAGAGAGUCAGGCAAGACAAGGUCGUGUUAUCACGUGGUCCGCUACUGUUGUGGUUACUUAGCGCAGAACCUCCUCAGGAUUCUUAUUAAACUUUAUCUCAGAACUGGCUGCCCGAGGGACGAACAGGGGAAGCAUUUCUCUGUACUGUGUGCUGAGGGCUGCUCCCAUGGGACGUUAAUUCCCCCAUCCCUAUGGGUUGCAAAUACAGGAGAGCCUCCUGGUACCAGAGCGUCACACAGUGCCGCAUCAGAGAAGCCUGGGGACAGGAAGCUCGGUUCUUGGUCCCUGAAGGGCAGCACUGUCUGCACAGAGCAGGGUGAAACCGGCCCAGAACUGUCCACUAGAGCUGUGGCUGGACUCGGAGGUUGAAGAGAUCUGCAGCGGGGCGCACGAGGCAGCUUAUAAGCCUCCGGAAUGUGCUAUCAGCCUUGUCUAGAUCUCUUUCCUCGCUUCCUCCUAUAAUCAAACUUUCAGGGUCCAGCACAAGAGUGGCAGAAGGGUUAGAUAGGGAAGUUAAAUGUGUUAGAAGAUGUACGUUACUAACAGUUGUGACCUUGAGCAAUGUUUGUAAGAAAUAGAAAGUGACACUAGAACUGGGAAAAUUAAAAAUGAUUCUACUUGAAACAUGGGACCUUUGGGUAGAGAUAGUAGAUAUCUUCUAAACUCAUGUAAUCUCAGAAGCAAUUAUGAAUUUUUGGAGAAAAAUGGAGAAAUAAAAUUAACCAUUUCUUAUAUGUCUCUAUGAGCUUUAUAAAUCAACGUCAUUAACUUUUCUCAAGAUUUCCCAAGAUAUUUCCCAUCUCAAGUACCCCACUGUCAAACACUCUUGAUACGGAGCUUAUAACCAAUGAAGAGAAAAUUGGUAGAAACAGAGGAAGAAAAACAUUGGGAUAAUUUACAUCACAUAAAGCAUUGGCAUUAAUAUUGGUUGGAAUAGGGGAACCUGAAUGCUGUGACUUGGGGUUCCUCUGUGAGGUCCGUGCUCCCUGGAAUAGUUUUCUCUCUGCCUGCACCCCUGUGAUGUCAUCCUCCUCCUCUCUUGCUUGGUCUGGAAUCACCACAAUAGGAUAAAACCUUUGAGUUAGUCAAUUUGGUAUGCCUUGGGCUCCGGCUAUUUGCUAUAUAUUGGUGCUGUACGUAUGAAUAAGACGAUAUAAAACAUCCAAAACUUUCAGAAUACAUAGUUUUUAAAGGUACCCUCAGAACAUUUACCAAAACCGACCAUAUGAUUGAUCACAAAUCAUCUCAACAAACUUCAAAAGAUUGAAAUUUCAAGGGCUGGUCAGGUCGCACAGGGGUUAGGUUCACAUUCUCCGCUUUGCAGCCCUGGGUUUGCUGGUUCAGAUCCUGGUUGUGGACCUACGCAGUGCUUGUCAAGCCAUGCUGUGGCAGGCAUCCCACAUGAAAAGGAGAGGAGGAUGGGCACAGAUGUUGGCUCGGGGCCUGUCUUCCUUGGCAGGAAGAGGAGAAUUGG